AGCGUAGGAGACGAACGUUAUCCGGAGUUACUGGGCGUAAAGGGCGUGUAGGCGGUAUGCUAAGUCUGGCGUGAAAGCUCUCGGCUAAACCGGGAGAGGUCGUUGGAUACUGGCAAACUAGAGGAUGGUAGAGGCGUGUGGAAUUCCGGGUGUAGUGGUGAAAUGCGUAGAGAUCCGGAGGAACACCAGUGGCGAAGGCGACACGCUGGGCCAUACCUGACGCUAAAGCGCGACAGCAU
rnacentral:rRNA from 1 species